ACAGGUAUUGCUGUAGCCAAAUGUCCAGUGUACCAGAAUACCUAGGUGGAGACAGCUGCUAUCCUGUCUCAGCAACAGCACUGUUUUUAUCUUCUGGAGAUUUAUAAGGUAAAGAUAUGAUACCCAAUACACCAGGUUAAACAAACAGAAGGCAGUUGGGAAGAAGAUGCGGGCAUAGGAGUCCAUUUUGGCAAUGCGGAUGUGUAUUCUUCCAUGCCUCCACGCUCCUGUUCGGCAAUCCUCAAAGCAGCAAAAAAAGCUGGCACAGUCCUUGCCAUCAAGACACUCAUACCCAUAUUCUUCAUCCCUUUCUUGGAGGUGUGUAGCAUUGUUCAUUUGAAUAGUAGCCGAUCGAGGCCGGAUGUCAAUUGUAGGUGCCUAAGGUGGAGUAGCAAAAAAAAGAAGAAAAAGAAAGAUGGUAGGAGGGAGAGACUGUUAUUAUCAACAGAGCAACAGGGAGAUAGAGACUAAUGGGCAACAUGUGAGUGAUGGCUCUGUGUGGGGUACAUGGGAAAUUGCUGAGGAGUUCUAAUGGCAGUGUUACCUUGGGCUUAUUAAAAUCCAUUGCAUUGUACACUUUAACUUUAUGGGAAAGCAGCACAAAUCAAUAGGAAAGUAACAGCUGUGGACUAUUAGCUCUAAAGCCAAACUAAAAAAGUCUUGGAGGUGAAAAGAAACAUUCAGAAAGGUAAUUGUUGGCAUUUUGAGUUUGUGUUUUGUAUUUUACAUUGCUGCUUGAUAUCUGAAAGAAAUUUGUGCGUUGUAUAUGGAAGGAACUGAAAUGUUAUAUUUGAAAUGCAGGAUUUUAAUAUAGGGCUGAUUUGUCUUAAGAGAGGAACAGGUAUAUAUAGAGAGGAAAAAAGGCAAAAGCUGAGUCAUUUGAAUAAGGUUAGAAGAAUCUCUGUAAAAUUCUUCACUUUUUUUUUUUGGGUGUAGGCAGUUUGCCAUCUACUAAUGUUCACCAACUAGAAGGUUCAACAUGUUCCAAAUUUUAUGGAGUAGCCGUACAUGUAUCUACCUUUAUAUUUGAAACAAGUUGAGCAAAUAAAGCAUUUAAAAUACA